AUGGUGGUCGAUGCUCUGGCAGCCAUCCUGGAUAAGGCCAAGGCAGCAGGCCACAUUAAGGGAAUAGUACCACAUCUGGUUGGGGGGAACGGGAUUUCCCUGCUCCAAUAUGCGGAUGACACCAUUAUCAUGGUGGAGGGUUUGGAGAGUGAUAUAUCCAACCUCAAGUUCCUCCUGUUGUGCUUUCGGCAAAUGUCCGGCCUUAAGAUCAACGUCGACAAGAGUGAGGUGAUGGUCUUGGGCUACACCCAAGAUGAGUGCCAAAGCAUUGCAGAUUGGCUUAACUGCCACCUCGGGUGCUUCCCCACCACAUAUCUGGGGAUCCCCAUUAGCGACUCCAGGCUUACAGUGGCCGAGCUGCACCCCAUGAUGGGAAAGCUUCAGCACCGGAUCGAGCCCUGGCAGGGUAGGUGGCUUUCGAAAGCGGCCCGUACGGUGCUCAUUAACUCGUCCCUCUCCAGCCUGCUAUUAUUCAUCAUGAGCUUCUACAGCCUUCCUGAGACCCUCCAUCAUGAGAUUGCCACCGUUCAGGGGUGGUUCUUCUGGGCAGGCGAGGGGGAUAAGCAGAACUACCACAUGGUCAGGUGGUCUGAGAUCUACAAACCUCGCGACCAGGGCGGACUGGGUAUCAUGUCCUCCAAACACAUGAAUAUUGCCCUUCUGACUAAGUGGCUAUGGCAGAUUGCUAAUGGUGAUGGUGGCUUGUGGCUCCACAUCAUUCAGCAGAAAUACCUUCGCGAUCAGCCUCUCGCCUUCUGCCACGAUCUGGGGCUCCCAGUUCUGGCAGUCCAUCAUUCAACUCCUCCCUGUCCUUCGGAUCGGGACCUCGAUCGAGAUUGGCUCCGGCACCGCCACGUUGUUCUGGUUCGAUAG
rnacentral:rRNA from 1 species